rnacentral:rRNA from 1 species
UGGGGAAUCUUGCGCAAUGGGCGAAAGCCUGACGCAGCAACGCCGCGUGGGGGAUGAAGGCCCUCGGGUUGUAAACCCCUUUCAGGAGGGACGAAAUUGACGGUACCUCCAGAAGAAGCCCCGGCCAACUACGUGCCAGCAGCCGCGGUAAUACGUAGGGGGCGAGCGUUGUCCGGAAUUAUUGGGCGUAAAGAGCUCGUAGGCGGUUUGGCAAGUCGGGUGUGAAAUCUCCGAGCUCAACUCGGAGAGGCCACUCGAGACUGUUAUGACUAGAGUCCGGUAGGGGACCAUGGAAUUCCUGGUGUAGCGGUGAAAUGCGCAGAUAUCAGGAGGAACACCGGUGGCGAAGGCGGUGGUCUGGGCCGGCACUGACGCUGAGGAGCGAAAGCGUGGGGAGCGAACAGG